rnacentral:rRNA from 1 species
UCCAGCGCCCAUUCCUCAAUGACCUACAAACACCAAAUUCCAUUUGAUCUUGGAAGCUAAGUAGGACCUGCCCUGGUUAGUACUUGGAUGACUGAUCACCAAUGAAUACUAAAUGCUCUAA